GACGAACGCUGGCGGCGUGCUUAACACAUGCAAGUCGAACGGAAAGGCCCUGCUUUUGUGGGGUGCUCGAGUGGCGAACGGGUGAGUAACACGUGAGUAACCUGCCCUUGACUUUGGGAUAACUUCAGGAAACUGGGGCUAAUACCGGAUAGGAGCUCCUGCUGCAUGGUGGGGGUUGGAAAGUUUCGGCGGCUGGGGAUGGACUCGCGGCUUAUCAGCUUGUUGGUGGGGUAGUGGCUUACCAAGGCUUUGACGGGUAGCCGGCCUGAGAGGGUGACCGGCCACAUUGGGACUGAGAUACGGCCCAGACUCCUACGGGGGGCAGCAGUGGGGAAUAUUGCACAAUGGGCGGAAGCCUGAUGCAGCAACGCCGCGUGCGGGAUGACGGCCUUCGGGUUGUAAACCGCUUUCGCCUGUGACGAAGCGUGAGUGACGGUAAUGGGUAAAGAAGCACCGGCUAACUACGUG
rnacentral:rRNA from 1 species